rnacentral:rRNA from 1 species
UACGUAGGUGACAAGCGUUGUCCGGAUUUACUGGGCGUAAAGAGCGCGCAGGCGGUCGAUCAAGUCGAGUGUGAAAGCCCCCGGCUCAACUGGGGAGGGUCAUUCGAUACUGAUCGACUCGAAGGCAGGAGAGGGUAGUGGAAUUCCCGGUGUAGUGGUGAAAUGCGUAGAUAUCGGGAGGAACACCCAGUGGCGAAGGCGACUACCUGGCCUGUUCUUGACGCUGAGGCGCGAAAGCUAGGGGAGCAAACGGGG